GGUUGUGGGUGGCUGUGUCUUCACAUCAGGUACCUCAGGACAUGGGCUGUGGACAAGGCUCCCUCUGGGGACAGCUACCAGGCACCCCUCUGCACCAGGCAGGCUCCCUGCAGCCAAGGAAUUCAGAACUCACAGCUGCCGUGGCGGGAGCGCCUGGGCUCCACCAAUCACACCGGGCCUUUGCGUCCACGAUGGUCACCUCGCCUGUGCAGCGGCCUGGUGAAAUAGGUGGGGUUAUCAUUCCAGGUGAGAGAGCGAGGCAAGUCUUCCAGGACAGCCCUGUGUGUCCAGCCUGACGCUGCCACUCCCUGCGAUGGCUCUGUGGGGACACGCUGUCUUCACAGAGGGCAGGAGAAUAGGAGGAGACCAAGGCCAAGGUUUGCUGCAGCCCAGCCCCUGGCCCCAGGACAGUGCCCCAGGAUACGCUGAAUGGACGGAUGGAAGAAUGAAUGGACAGUUCACAUCCUUAGAACAUCUCUUCUCAUUGAAAAGACCUCAGGCAAUACUGGUAAGUUUAAGGAAAGUUGGACAACAGAUCACCUGAGAUCCCACCACCCAGACGAGCAGACGCGAUCAGCUGGCCGAGCAACCUUGCGGACAUUUUUUCACUGCUGUUAGAGAAGGAUGAAGGGGGGCAGAGAGAGAGAGAGAGAGA